ACCCAGAGUUCCUGUGAGCCCCUCUCGCCAUUGAGUCUCACACACACGCACACGGAGAGCAAAAGAAAUGAGAUAGAGAUAGAGAGAGAGAGAGAGAGAGAGAUAGAGAGAGAGAGUGUAUGGGUGCAUCCUCGUCUUCCUGGGAAUCUUCCUAUCUGAAUUCAACUUCUGGUCUUCUCUCUCUUUUGGAUUUGAACCCUAAUUAUCUAAAUCAGGAUAUGGACGAAAUGGACUUGGAUCAGGUAGUCGAUGUUCCUGACACACCUGAUAGGUUAGCUGCCCAUCAUAUUAUUGGUAAGGAUAGUGCUGGAAGAGAAAGCAAUUCAUCAUUAGCUGGUCAUUUGAGGAAUCCUGAUUUUGUGGGUGAAAAAUGUAUGAAUGGAUUGAGGGGCAGGGGUAGGCUGGCCAAUGAUAAUUUCCAGAAUAAAAGAUUGGUUAUUCGGUCUCGGAAGAAUCUCAGCGAUGAUGAACCUAAGGGUUGCAACAGCCCCAUUAUUAUUUCCCCACCGCAGAACUCAUACACCUCCCAGAAUGCUCACUUAUUCAGGAGACCAGCAAUAGACAAAAGCUUUAGUCAUAGGAGCAGACAUUCCAUUGGAAUGGAAAAGAAGGAUAAAGGGAAAGGCAUGUGUACUAAGUUUCCUCCAAAUUCAUCUGGUUUCCAAGAAGGCACUGCCUCUUUAUAUUUAACAGAACAGAGUGGUCACACCCAAAAACCUGAAACCGGUUUUCCAUUGGAUGCAUUUGAAGAUCUUCUUGCUGAAGAUGAGAGAAAAGAACAAAUACCAACUUUUGGCGGUUCGUCUUCAUAUUGCCUUCCAGUUCCUCCAAAGGCAUCCAGCAAUGCCUACAAGGGGAAGGAGAAAUUAGAGGACAAUACAUUUAAAAGUACUGGUUUGGCUUUGGCUCAUGGAAAAGGGGCAGCUAUGUCCACUGAAAAACAGAUUUCCACUCCUGUUCAUUGUCUUACCAUGCCAAGAGUCAGUGGGCAAAAAAGGUUAGUUCGCAAUGGAUGUAUCUCUCCACAUAAUAUAGCAACAAGGGCAAAACAAUUAGCUGAACAGCAGAGUACCAGUUCCAAUGUUGAUUUGGUUUCCAAAAGUCCUCUGAUAAACAUUAGUGAUAUAGUUUCUGGAGACAAUAAUGGUGAUAGAGUGAAAGGAAAAGGUGUUAUAAAUCAUCCUUCAGCAAACAAGCCAGGGGCUAAUAUUAUUCAUAUAACUGGCAGCCCUGUGAUUGAUAAUGGAGAAGCUGAUGGACACAACAAUGCUAGUAGAGAUGCAUUUGCAUUGCCCGAAAGAUUACGUGGUUGGAGAAGUACACGGAGUCGUUCCAAGAAAAAUGAUAAUCCUUUGUCUGAUGCAGCUGGGUGUCUUUCUGGGAUGAAUGGUGCUGGAAAUUUUGUUAGUCAACAGCAUGAAGACAGAGCAGAGAGAAGGGAUACAGGGAGUGGAAUAAACUGCAGGGCUCAAUGUGAUGUUGCAAAAGAUUGUGAUUCAGCACAAACAGCUGCUGAGAUUGUCUCUGAGGUUGACCAGAUAGCUGGACUGCAUUAUGCACCAAAUACACUCAGUAGAAGGCAAAAGAAACAUAGAUUGACUUCAAGAAAUCGUGGUGAGUGCUCUACGUCAGUUACUGAUGACUCAGAUAUUGUGAUUCUUGGUUCCUAUGGGGAACCAUCAAAUUCAAGAUCAUCCAGAAUCCAGACUCGUCAACGUAGGGGCAGUUUGGGUCCACUUAUUGAAGUUGAUGAUUUAUCAACUGAAAUGAGACAAAACCUCUCCCAUGAUUUAGACCGCACGAAUAAUGAUGACUCAGAUGCUAGGGCAAGACAACUAGAAGCAGAUGAGAUGUUGGCUCGGGAACUGCAAGAACAACUAUAUAAUGAGAUGCCUGUGGUUGGAGGUCAUGAGAUUGAUGAAAAUGUAGCAUGGGAGAUGCAUCAGGAGUGGGACGUUUUCCGUUCUGCUUCUGGUGGAAGUCACAGUGAUACACACCCUAGAGGCUCAUCAGUAACACAUUCGUCUAGACAACCUCGGUCACGGUCUUCUCAUAACCCUUCAGUUAGGAGAGCAACCCAGGCUCAAGCUCCUACCUCUAGUCGAAUAGCACAGUUGAUGGGAGCCCAGGCUAGAGUUCCCACCUCUAGUAGAAUAGCACAGUUGAGAAAUCGCAUCUCCAGACAUUCUCCUUCAGGAUCAUCAGGUCGAAGGAAUCUCCACUUUCCUUCAUACAUGGAUUUAGACAUGAGACUUGAUAUAUUGGAAGCAUUAGAGGCUGCAGUUGGGGACCUUAGUGAUAUGAGUAUGGCUAAUCACGCCUUUCAAGUUCAGCGUGAUUUUAAUGAAAAUGAUUAUGAAAUGUUGUUGGCUCUUGAUGAUAAUAAUCACCAUCAUGCCGGUGCAUCUGUCAAUCAGAUUAAUUGUCUUCCGCAGUCAACAGUACAGACUGAUACCAGUGAAGAGGCUUGUGCAAUUUGUCUUGAAAUUCCAACUAUUGGAGAAACCAUUCGGCAUCUCCCAUGCUUACACAAAUUUCACAAAGAUUGCAUUGAUCCAUGGCUCAGCAGAAGGACAUCAUGCCCAGUUUGCAAGUCUUCCAUCACUUAGUUUGCACUGGGAGUUUAGUGCUGAAUUACUCCACAUCUGGAGCAUUCUCAUUCUGGGGUUAAGUUAAUGCAACUCGGAUGGCAUACUGAAGUCUAGGUCUAACUUCAGAUCAAUGUGAGCUGGAGGCCAAUAAGACAUGGGCUUAGGCGGCUGAUCUUGGGACUGGGGUUCCCAACCAUAUGCAAAUGGCGCAAGGAAUCAUUUCGCCAUAUGGGCGAUUGAAUGCAGCAUGUAUGUGUACUGGUAAUUUACUGGCAUUGCAGUUGUAUAUGUGGCGUUGCAGUUGUACUGGUCAUUUUCUGGGGGAUGGUUGGUGACACUUGCAAUCCUCUCUUAAUAUUGAAAUUUAAGCCCGAUCCUUUAUUACAGCCUUUAAAUUGAUAUCUAUGC